rnacentral:lncRNA from 1 species
AGAGCCAUAGAGUUUUCAAAUUUUUUAGUGUAAUUACCAAAGGGCAACAAAACAACCUAGAGAAGCUUCUGUUAUGAUCAAUUUNNUGCAGUNUAUAUUGUUUGCUACUCUCAGGAAUUACUUNUCUACUACAAUUUUGCCCUUCUCANAUCAUGUGGUUAAUUUAUACUUUAUGUUUCUAUUCUUGGACUAGAUUUAGCCUAGCAGACACACUCCUUCAAUUUCCAUACAUACUUUUCAUUUAUUUAUCACUAUCUUUUCUUUAUAUCAUGUGGGAAUGGUGACGUUUCGUCACACUUGAGAAGUUUCAAACACACCAGACUAUACAAUUUGGAACUCCCAACUCUAAGCAGCAUGGUCCAUAACCACCUAGGUCGGUGAAAAGUAAGAACCCUCUUAGCUAGCUUUGUAG